UGGGUUGUGUGUGUUUGUGUUACCUUGUUCUGAUAUGGGUUUGUGUGUGUGAGUGUGUUUGUGUGUGUGCAUUAUUUAUCAAUGACGAUACACAUCUGCAUGUUAACAGUCCAUGCUAUACAAAUCCAAAAUGAACAACGGUCAAAUGCAACCAUCGACCAGAUGUUUCCAUGACAACACUCAGGUCCGCUGCACUGAUAGAACGCCACAAGCCUGUUAGCUUGUUAGCCUGUCUGCUUUUAAGCAUGUUAGCCCAUUGGCAUGUGAGCCUGUUGGCUUGUUAGCGUGUUUAUUUUUGAGUCAGUUAGCCUGUUAGCAUUGUUGGCAGGCCUGUUUGUUAAGGUCAGGCCUGUUUUAUUAAGGUCAGGCCUGUUUUUUAAGUUCCGGCCUGUUUGUUGAGUUCAGACCUGUUUGUUGAGUUCAGGCCUGUUUGUUGAGUUCAGGCCUGUUUGUUGAGUUCAGGCCUGUUGGUUGAGUUCAGGCCUGUUUGUUAGGUUCAGGCCUGUUUGUUAGGUUCAGGCCUGUUUGUUAGGUUCAGGCCUGUUUGUGGAGUUCAGGCCUGUUUGAGGCUACGGUAAACAACAUUGUUUUAAAGGAUGGAGGUCUGUAGGAUGUGUGUUUCGCAGUCGUACAGAUUCUUCAUCACCCUCUAAUGCAGCGGUUCUCGCCUCAUGUUAUUGGGUGUUUUCAAAGGUGCAGUGUGAAGGGUUUUGGUGGCAUCUAGUGGUGAGGUUGCAGAUUGCAGCCAACUGAGUACCCCCUCUGAAGUCUGAAUACCCUCUAACCUCCUCAUCCGUCCCCACCACGUUGGAGGAGCUACACUGGACCGGGCUGGCCUUGUUAGGGGGCAGACGGUACCUUAACAUGAUGUCUUCAUCUACAGCAGCCUCGGCCAAGUGUCAAGUGAAGAGAUUUAGUUUCUUGAUUCUAGUUUUUUCAAAAGUAGAUCAUCAAUACUGAAUAUAUAUGAAACGGUCCCAGUACUCAUUUCCAC
ensembl:lncRNA